CCCCCCUCCUCCUUGGGAGACGAGUGCAUCUUCGCCGGAACCUUCCUCCGUUCUUGAGAACUCUUCUCAGGAACCCUGUCUGAAUCAGCAUCGGCUCACGUCCUAGGCACCUGCCCACACCUCGCACGGGCUCAGAGGAAGCGCCUGAACGUGCGUGCGCGUGCGCGGGUCGGUGCGCGUGCGCUCCGACUGGGCCUUCCCAAGCCAAAGGGGAGGACCCGUUCAACGCGGCCAGAGGACGGAUCCGUGGAGUGCGCACAGAACAAGUCAGACCUUUCUGAAACCUGUGUUGCCUUGCUGGUCUACACCCGCCUCCAAGGAUGGGGAUCUGAUUCCUGGGUUCUUAUCCCGACUCCCCUGUGAGCAGCUGAGGAGAUCACAUCUACCCAAUGGCUCGCCUGGCGCGAGCGACGUGGCCCGUCGUGCCCAGCCCUGGGCUGACCCGGCGCCCAGCCAGCCACGCAGAAACUCAGCAGGUGUCCUGGGGGGGACGAACAUGCCGCCGGCUCCUGGUCGUUUCCAAAAGUCGAGGACUCGCACGCCUGGACAUCGUCUGUGCGUCUCCGGGCGAGAGGGCUUUUGGUCUGGAGAAAGACAGAAUCUGCAUUUGAGUGUCGAGAAAGCGCUAUUUAAGUGACACUCCGCGAUGCCUUGUCCCGUGAGUGAAAUGCGCUCACGCUUCGCUGGUGGCUUGUUUCUGCCCCCCUUCGUGGCUUUCAAAUUGUUAAAAGCCUUAGAAUGACUGGUAGCUCGGAGGCUUCAAACCCGUUCCCCCCAGGGCCCGGGAGAGUCCUUGCAGCCUAAGAAACGGGAUGGGGACAAAUUAAAUGAUAAUUGUGCACCUGCUCCGGUCUGUAAUUCAGACUCCUGUCAUGAAAAAACAAUGGGUAGCUUGGCCUUUCUUCUGUGUUGAAAGCGUUCAUCGCGGUUGUUCAGGUUACAAAUAAAAAGCCAUAGGCCCCCCA
rnacentral:lncRNA from 1 species